rnacentral:rRNA from 1 species
GACGAACGCUGGCGGCGUACCUAAUACAUGCAAGUCGAACGCACUCUCGUUUAGAUUGAAGGAGUUUGCUCCUGAUUGAUAAACAUUUGAGUGAGUGGCGGACGGGUGAGUAACACGUGGGUAACCUGCCCUAAAGUGGGGGAUAACAUUUGGAAACAGAUGCUAAUACCGCAUAAAACCUAACACCGCAUGGUGUAGGGUUGAAAGAUGGUUUCGGCUAUCACUUUAGGAUGGACCCGCGGUGCAUUAGUUAGUUGGUGAGGUAAAGGCUCACCAAGACCGUGAUGCAUAGCCGACCUGAGAGGGUAAUCGGCCACACUGGGACUGAGACACGGCCCAGACUCCUACGGGAGGCAGCAGUAGGGAAUCUUCCACAAUGGACGAAAGUCUGAUGGAGCAACGCCGCGUGAGUGAAGAAGGUUUUCGGAUCGUAAAACUCUGUUGUUGGAGAAGAAUGUAUCUGAUAGUAACUGAUCAGGUAGUGACGGUAUCCAACCAGAAAGCCACGGCUAACUACGUG